rnacentral:rRNA from 1 species
CAUAGGAUUCCUACGGGAGGCAGCAGUGGGGAAUUUUGCGCAAUGGGGGAAACCCUGACGCAGCAACGCCGCGUGAGUGAUGAAGGCCUUCGGGUCGUAAAGCUCUUUUAGUGGGGAAGAAUCCCACCCAGGUUAAUACUUCCGGUGUCUGACGGUACCCACAGAAAAAGUUCCGGCUAACUACGUGCCAGCAGCCGCGGUAAUACGUAGGGAGCAAGCGUUGUUCGGAAUUAUUGGGCGUAAGAGCGCGUAGGCGGUUCGGUAAGUCUGACGUGAAAUCCCGGAGCUUAACUCCGGAACUGCGUUGGACACUGCCGAGCUUGAGUGUGGGAGAGGAGAGUGGAAUUCCCAGUGUAGAGGUGAAAUUCGUAGAUAUUGGGAGGAACACCGUGGCGAAGGCGGCUCUCUGGACCACAACUGACGCUGAGGCGCGAAAGCUAGGGUAGCAAACGGGAUUAGAUACCCCGGUAGUCCUAGCCGUAAACGAUGGGCACUAGGUGUUGGAGGUAUCGACCCCUCCAGUGCCGCAGCUAACGCAUUAAGUGCCCCGCCUGGGGAGUACGGUCGCAAGACUAAAACUCAAAGGAAUUGACGGGGGCCCGCACAAGCGGUGGAGCAUGUGGUUUAAUUCGACGCAACGCGAGACCUUACCUGGGCUUGACAUCCCUGAAGGUGCUGGAAACAGUACCGUCCUUUGGGACAAGGUGACAGGUGCUGCAUGGCGGUCGUCAGCUCGUGUCGUGAGAUGUUGGGUUAAGUCCCGCAACGAGCGCAACCCUUAUCCUUAGUUGCCAGCGAGUAAUGUCGGGAACUCUAAGGAAACUGCCGGUGAUAAACCGGAGGAAGGUGAGGAUGACGUCAAGUCCUCAUGGCCUUUAUGCCCAGGGCUACACACGUGCUACAAUGGCCGGUACAAAGAGUUGCAAGCCCGCGAGGGGGAGCCAAUCUCAAAAAGCCGGUCUCAGUUCAGAUUGUAGGCUGCAACUCGCCUACAUGAAGGCGGAAUCGCUAGUAAUCCCGGAUCAGCAUGCCGGGGUGAAUACGUUCCCGGGCCUUGUACACACCGCCAU